UACAUAUAAGCAUGAGCUGCCUAAAAAUUAAACUAGGAAGCUGAGUCAAGAUAUAAGCAAGAGCUUGAACUUAGUCUGUAAAUUGAAAGCAAGAGCUGGUAAAGCUUUAGCAUACUAGCUUAAUGAAUCAUCUCAACUAUCAAACGUGAAGGCCAAGAAUUUUUCUUGAUGAGCAAGGAGGGAGUUCUUAUAAAUGUAAAUUUCAUAGACUUUAUUCAAUUUCUUCUGAUCAUCUCAAAUUCUUAUAUCUCAUAACAAGCUCCAUCAAACCGUAUAAAGCUGUGCUAAGCAAAGCUAGUUUAGAAAGAGAAUUUGAAGAGUGUUGCUAUAGAAAAGGGAAUUGAAGCAAGCUUAACCAAUUAUUUAAGCAAGAACUCUGUAAUUAAGAGGUAAAAUUUUAUCUCUUGUUAUAUAUAUAAAAGCUAGGUAGGAGAAUUGAUAUAUAAUUAACUUCUGUGAUUGCUUGUGGUUGAUUUCUAUAUUAAAUCUGGCUAUCUAUGUUUAAACUCUUAUGAGUUUUUGAAUUCUAAACUAUAUCCACCACAUAUUUGACAGAAUGUUUCAAAAGAAUAAUUUUGUUAAAAAUUAGUCUAUGUAAUGAACAGGAUAGCUUAUAUAUAUAAGAAUUAUGUAAUUACUCAAUUCAAUAAGGGUAUUUGGUAUGCUUUCAAUAUGAUAGUAAAAGAUCAAACUUUGGAAAUUUGCAGAAAACAGAGCAAGUCUUGGUCUGCAGCCCAGGUCAAAACCAGCGCGGCCGCGCAGGCCCCAGAAAAGCCAAGGAUGUGUUUUACAUAAUUUGGGCUUCUGAGCAUGUGUAGUGUUUAAAAAUGUAUCCUAUGUGGUGUCCAGUAUGGCUAAGCAUGAAAAUGGAAUAUUUUAGCAUGCUUUAAUAUAAGAAUUCAAAUAAAAACUAAACGGUUUUGAAAAUUAAACUUGAAACAAAUAAAGUCAAAACCAAAACAGGUAUAAACCUUUCUAUCAUAUGUGAAUAUGGUGUGAUGGGAUCUUGGGAUAUUACCAUGAAGGCUAUGCAUUGAAACACUCAGUUCUGAGCCUUCUCUGGAGUGGCGCGGCCGCGCCACUCUCAAGCCUAAAUGCAGCGCGGGCGCGCCGUGCUGCAGAGUUGCGAAGAGGUUUUGUUUGAGAAUUGAGGCUUGGAACAAGUUUGUUUAGGACCUACAAACAAGAAUACAUAAGAUACAAGGUGUCUAGUCUAUCCAAACAUAACGAUUAUAUCAAGCGAAGGUGGAAUAAGAAGUUUCUAAAUGAAAUCAAAUACUCCCUCCGUCCCAUGAUAAAAGUCCUUAUUACUUUUUUGGGUAGUCCCAUGUUAAAUGUCCACUUUCUUUUAAUAACCAAAUUUUUACACAUUUUUUUCUAUAAUGCCCGUAGCAUUAAAUAUCUCAUACUUUUCUUAUUCUAAUUCUCUCUUCAUAUUUAAUAAGUAUGUAGAUAGAAUAUUUUGAAUUGAAUAGCUAAAAAGUCACUCUCUCACCUACAUUGAAAAUAAUUAAUGACAUAUUAUUAUGGGUAAUUUGUCAUUUCAUUCUUUUUCUUAAUAUGCGUGAAAAGUCCCUCAUGACUUUUAUUCUGGGACGGAGGGAGUAACAAAGUAAAAGCUAAUAAAGCUAUUGUGUUGGGUUAAUAUAAAUUAAGUUCCCAUUGAAUGUGUAUAACUGAUAAUGGGUAUGUAUACAUGAUUAUAUGAUUGUGUAGGAAUCGUGAAGCACAUGUGACUGUAGUUGUAAUCAACUCGCAAGGCAAGUCUUUUAGUUCAUAUGUGCUAUAUGAACUUGUCAUGAUUAUGAUUAUGUUGAGUUAUGGAAUUCAACUUAUGACUAAAACGGAUCGAGUUUUGGAAUUCCGUGAUAUGCUAAACAUAUAAAUCAUAUCGUUUGAAGUUAUAAUGCAUGUCUAAUAUAAGUAUGAACUUAGCAUGAAAGUAUGUGUUAUGUGAUGUAUGAAAACUGCUGGAUUUGCUGGGCUGUUGAGCUCAGUCUUGCAAAACUAAAAUUUUUGCAGGUAUGCUAUGUGACGCAAUUUCUUGUUGUUCGGAUGAUAAGGACUUGAAGCAUAUGCGCAGGAGAAUUAUUUAUUUUAGUUAAAGACUGUAUUACAUUUUAUUGACGGUUUGUGGUGUUUAUGUAACUGCAAAAUUGUAUAUAUUGAAUUAUUCGAUAUAUAAAGGAUGUUGUAUUUAGACUUGAAUUCUAAAACAAUAACUCUGAUAAAAUGAAUCAUAGAAUAUUCUAAAAUAUGUAACGGUAAAGGUUGCGAUUCAGAGAAUAAAGGAAGGCUAUAACAAAAGUUUUAAAUUAUUGGCAUCUUCGGCUAUUAUUUCAUCCUUAUAUGAUGUAAAGUUGGAUCGAGAUAGUAUCUAACGCACAAGAUCGAGAUUAAGUUAGUCCUGAUUUUUGAUUAAGUUGGUCCUGAUUUUGGGGUCAUUAGACUAACUCAACACCUUCCACUCAGCACCAAAUAGUUAAUCUGUAAUGUUGUUGUUAGACCUUUAGGGAAUACCUAGAGAUUUUUAUUACAAAGGUACAACUUGGUUUAAAAUUAAAGUAACCUAUUGAAUUACCUAAUCUGAGUGGAUCAAAGUUUUCCUAAAAGUUCAAGUCUGGGUAAUUAUGAAAGCAUUUUGUAUAUGUAUUUUGAGAUAAUCUCACAUUGCCUUUGUCUUCGGGCCAUUUAUUGCCUGUAGAGAAGUCCAAUUGAAUGGCUAUUAGAUACCUAAGAUAGUGAUCUAGAUGUAACUAUUUAUCUCUUUUUAUCUUGAAAGUUGUUUAUGUGAGACUAUUGAUGUUAAUACUCUGUUUUGCAAGUAG
rnacentral:lncRNA from 1 species